rnacentral:rRNA from 1 species
GACGAACGCUGGCGGCGUGCCUAACACAUGCAAGUCAAGGCGGUAGCAAUACCGACUGGCGCACGGGUGCGGAACACGUAGGUAAUUUGCCCUUUAGGGGAGAACAACUCAUCGAAAGGUGAGCUAAAUCUCCGUAAUGUUUUACUAUGGCAUCAUAGUUCAACCAAGUUUUCUAAGGGAUGAGCCUGCGUCUGAUUAGCUAGUUGGUGAGGUAACUGCUCACCAAGGCUACGAUCAGUAGCUGGUCUGAGAGGAUGAUCAGCCACAUUGGGACUGAGACACGGCCCAGACUCCUACGGGAGGCAGCAGUGAGGAAUAUUGCUCAAUGGAACGAAAGUCUGAAGCAGCAACGCCGCGU